rnacentral:rRNA from 1 species
AAGGAGGAGGAAGGUGGGGACGACGUCAAGUCAUCAUGGCCCUUACGCCUAGGGCUACACACGUGCUACAAUGGGGUGCACAAAGAGAAGCAAUACUGCGAAGUGGAGCCAAUCUUCAAAACACCUCUCAGUUCGGAUUGUAGGCUGCAACUCGCCUGCAUGAAGCUGGAAUCGCUAGUAAUCGCAAAUCAGCCAUGUUGCGGUGAAUACGUUCCCGGGCCUUGUACACACCGCCCGUCACACCAUGGGAGUUGUGUUUGCCUUAAGUCAGGAUGCUAAAUUGGCUACUGCCCACGGCACACACAGCGACUGGGGUGAAGUCGUAACAAGGUAACCGUAGGUGAACCUGCGGU